rfam:Enterococcus villorum ATCC 700913 genomic scaffold acvIF-supercont1.8, whole genome shotgun sequence.
GUCCAUAUGCUAUAAUAGUUGAGACAGUAAAGUUUAAUGGCGGUGGCUAUCCAUUCGAGAGUGAGGUGGUGCGUAUGCACAUAAUCUCAAACUUUAAAGAAAGGAGACGCCUUUUGUCUGUUGAAACAGCGUUAGGGCUAAUGAUUAGUUUCGGUUCGUUUACCGCAACUUUGAUCUUUGGCAUUCU